UUCUAAUAAAAGAAAUGAUAUUUUUGUAGUGAAACAUAGGAACAUUGAAAUCAUGUAGGAGAAAUAAUUUAUGGCAAAAUGAGUCAGAGAAAAAUACUGCAUUCUCAGAGCUACUGUAGUUUCAACAACACAGGUAGAUUGCUCAGUACCAUUGCUGCCAUUUGUUAUGUAAUGUCUCAUGUGUCUUUCUGCCUGUUCCUAUAGCUGCUGCAAAGCUGCAGCCACCAUUACCUUGAGUCUUAGUGUUUUAAUAGGCUUUGUAUGGAAGAAAGGAUGGCAAUGGUCCUUUCUUAAAGGUUUGAGACUGGCUCUCAUUACAGAGGGCUUUGUGACCUCUGGCUAUGUCAAACCAGCCAUAGAUGCCAUGUCCCCAAGUUCUAUAAUGUUCCUUUACAGAAUCAUAUAGCCUAUGCCAAAGAGUUUCAGUUGCUAAGCGUGUUAUAUUACUGAAUAGAAAUAUUUGAUUCAGGUUGCUCUUUGGCCAUUGUGUCACCACUAAGAGUUUAUUUGGAGUUUACCACAUACAAAUUAUACCAUUGCUAUACCACAAGAAAAGAAGGCAAUCAAGACAGUCAUCCAGAAAAGCCCUUUCUGUGGAAAGAUGGGAAUGAAAGUGUAGAGAUAGCUGACAAAAGACAAUUAAAGUCAAAUCUUGACCUUGAAGAACAGAUUAUGUUUGGACCUUUGGAUCUUUUCAUGGUAUCUCAAGAGUCCUUCACACCUAAACUAUCAGCUGCUUUAAAAUAAUGUAUUUUGCAUCCAAUAUGUUAGCUGGAAUUUUUUUCUCUCUGAGGACAUAGUAGCUGAUUGUUGAAAUGUCUAUUUUUCGUGUGCUACAUUUUAUCUAAGUUUGCAGUAGAGUAGGAGCCAAAUGAGUACUGUACUUCUGUUCUGUCUCCCUUAGGAAGUUCUGUAUGAAAUGGAAUCAUUUUUCUAAGAUCAUUAGUCUAGCAUAUGCAAAACCAAAACAUGAUUUUCUUGUUCUCUCUAGUAUAUUUCUAGCCUCAUUGGUACAUCACCAAGCACACACACUGUACUUUUACUAUUUCCAGUAUACUUUAUGUCAAUAUAGUUAUAGUUAUAGCCUAAUAAUUAUUCCACGACUAUAGAAAGGGAUUGUCAUUCCCAAGCGGUAGCCGAGGAACCUAAAACCUGGAAGAGUUAAGGUAUUUGUCCAAAAUUUGACUGGUCAAUUUCAACCAUGGUGUGAAUAUGACUCUGAAGGUCCUUUCACUCUUUUGUGCAGUUUGAGACAUCUGUCUCUGACCUAUAAUGGUUAAGGAAGUCUGCCUCUGGUCAAUGCAUAUAAUAGCUGGCUUCAUUCCACAAUGUCUUAGAACAAUAAGCUUCCCAUUGUGCCUUAGUAGUAUACUAUGAUUGGUCUUUUAUUUUUCCCUUCUUUUCUUUUUAUUCUUCUAGAGAGAAUUAAAAUGUCUAUACUUGUCAAAAUCAUUCAUCCUUUACUUCAUAAACAAUCUAUCUAAAGAAGGUUUGCCUUUAGUGUUCACUGCAUUAUGGGGACAUUUAAAAGACUGGGGAAGAUUACAGGGAUGCAUCUCUGCGUCUGAAUCAUCACCUCUUAUUGAGAAGUAGCAAAAAGUAAGGUAAUUCCAUCAAAAGUCCAAAGAAAUAGAGGUUAUAGCAAGAUGUAUAUUAUUAGUAAAGCAGAAAUAGUAAACCCCAGCUUUUGCCUUUUUGUUUCAAUGCCCACAUAUACCAGUAAAGAUAAUCUUGUGAUUAGGUCUAUUGCUUUACAUACUAAUUUAUUUGAAAAUACCUUCACAGGCAUAGUAGAGAUCUUGAGAUAAUUUUGGAACAGUCAUCUGGGUAUCUGUUAGCCCCGCCAACUUUGCCCAUAUAAUUAAGGCUCCUACCUGUUUUUGCUUAUGGCAUCAUGUAGAAGACAUUUUGGGUCAAAUAUGUAAAUUUUAAAUUACUGUAGUGUCAAAUUAACUCGUAUAAAGAGGAUGUUUGUUUAUAUUAUCACUAACAUAAAAGAGACACUCCCCUUGGCCCUAUAUCAACAUCAGUUAUAAUAUAGCUUCCUGUUUUGCUUAUCUGAUAAAUUAUAUUCCUUUUUUGUAUCUUUCUAUAUCUAUGAAUGAAACUGAACAUAUUUUCAUGCUCACUCAAAAUGUACUUUUUAUGUACUGCAGUUGUUGGCUUCAGAUAAUAAAUUUUAUGAGAAAGGUGGACAAUAUCAUGUAAAAGUAAUCUUUGGAUCAGUUCAUUUGCCUGAAUGUGGAGACAAGGAAGGCCUGUGUAUCUGCCCUUCUGUCACAGCAUCACACAUGGGCCAGUUCUCCCUUAUAUGCUCUCAAAUGGAGAAAUCCAUAAUUGGUGUACAGUUUAGAAAGAUGAUGGGCCAGAGAAAACACUCAGCAGGUAAGGUUGUCUGAUAAUAAGCCUGAUUCCUGAGUUUGAUCUUUGAGACCCACUCAAAAUAAACAAAACAUUUAGAAAAUCCCUAGAUUGUACUUUUAUGUUGAUAAGUUUCUGUGAAACUGUUCAUUCCUGGAAAGUAAUCUGUGUAUGGUGAGAAUGCUGCUUAAUUUUAGACCAGUGAUCUUACUCUGAAUUGUGCCCUAGUGUCUGAGAGAUCUGGUGAAAUCUACAGGCCACACUAUAAAACCUUCUUUAAAUGGGUAAUAUAAAAUAGAUGUCAUUAAAAAGGAAAUCAAUCUGUUUGAAAAAUAUUUAUAGAAUGUUUUACACAAACUGGUGGUAUACUAACACAUAUAUCUUUCCCAAUAAUUUAUAAACAAGAGCUUUCAUUUUAGAGUAGUAGUUAUAUGUGACAUUUUGACAUAUGUUCAGCAACUGUAAUGUGAUUUGCAAAUAUUUCUGUUACUAUAUUCUCUUACAAGUACUAUUUUCACUUGUCUUACCCAGGAGUGACAUUGAGAGUUUUUCCUCCAAUAUCUUAACAUCAUGAUAAAAUACCAGACAUAAGCUCUUAAUUCUUUCUAUUAGAGAUAACAUACAAAAUUAGUAUUUUGUGAGAAAAACCCCACAAAGUAUAGCAUGCUCAGGUGUUCAUUUUGUAUAACCCUGCCAAACAAGCAAUAAAAUUCCAGUCUUCAUUUUUUGGACAACAAGUAGAAAUUGAUAUCAAAUGAGGCAAGUGGUGAUAUGACUGAUGAAUUUUUUAUAGAUGUCACAAACUUGCUAUUUUGAAAUAAAGAAGAAUAUCUUCUAAAAUCAUGAUAUUUACAUUUUGAUCUGGAUGGUAAUGAUGCACAUCUGUUUGUUUUUAUAAAGUAUUAAAAACAUGAGAAAUGUAAUAUCUCGUAAGGAGUGUUGGAUUUUGGUACCACGUAGAGAUCAAGGAAAACUGUGGACUUAAGAGUGUAUUUUGUUUUCAUGUCUUUUGGCUUUUAAAAGUCUCAGUUGCUUAUUUGGGUUGGUGAGUAAAGGAUAUUGCAAGUUUGAGGACAGCCUGUGUCUCCCAUCAAAAACAGAAAAGUUUCAGGUGCAUUCUCGUCCACAUCAGAGAAGGCGUGUCAAAUGAUAUAUGUGUCUACUUUUGAAUUGCUGGAUUUGGGAGCCUCAGACUAGAUUACACAUUGUCUGACUUCCCAGGUAGAUUGCUAUGGUCCAUAAUUUCUAGGUCAUUUUCUUACUUAUCCCAGGAGAAAGAGUGAUCUGACCCUAGCAUGAUAGUCACUGUCACUGAAACCAUUUCUAAACCUAAAACUGUGGCUUUCUCUCACCCACAGGUCCAGCCUCAUGCUACCUAAAACAUGUUUCUCCUAACAUCACAUAGGUUUAUUGUUUUUCAGAAAUAUGGCAACUUCAGAGUCCCCUGGGUUUGAAACAGCAUAGAAACAUGUUUCAUGCAUACUCAGAUUUCUCACAGCAGCAGGGGGAUUGAUGGAAAUAUGGGCAAUCAGAUCAAAUCUGCUUCUCUUAAAAAAUAUGACUGGGAAGGAAAAGGAUUAUGCUCACGAGAACCAUCCUUGUUAUGUGCUGUUACAGUGGAAACAUUGUCUUGGUCAGGGGUCUAUUUCUUAAAACAUUCCCAGAACUUUAAAUUUUGAAAACAAGUAAAAGGGGGAAGGAAAGUUUCCUGUUAUAGUCUGCCAAGGCAAACACAUGGCCCAUCCCCUAGAAACUAGAAAUCAUAGGAUCUCACAGACAGUCCCACAGGGUUGAUCACAGGCCCAAAAUAAAAAACAAUUGUUCAUGCAGAAUGUUAGAAUAUGAAAAGCAAAUGUGCUACUUUUCCCCAGUGCCUGCUGACCUUGAUUGAGAUGAUUUAUUAAAGGACCAGGUAGAGGACAAAACUGACUUUAGGGACUGGCUAAUACCAUGUUUUAGUUGCUGAUAAAUAAGUCAGUCUCAGACAAAAUGUACUUUUCAUGUUCUAUGAAGGUUUCACUUGUGGAAGAAUAAAUAUCAGUCAUUUAAAUAUUUGGUAGAGUACAAAACAAAUCUGUGGCUGUCCGUGUCUGGAUGUCAGAAUUAUAUGAACUAAUCUCCACAAGGCAGACCCCCUUAGAAAAAACGAUUUUGGAAAAGUAUUGCUCAGGAGAGUUAUGCUCAAGUAGUUAUCAUCUAAAAGGAACCAUUCUAAAUGACAUUCCUAUUCUAAUAUACCUAGUGAUUGGGCUAAUUAAUCAACCAAAGCUCCUCAUCACAAAUUGAAUUGUAGUCCCUGACUGGAGUCAUCCUUGCCUAUGGGGAACUGAUUGCUGAAAGAAUGACAUGGUCACCACAUUGUAUGGCAGUCAUUGCUAUUCUUACUGGUCACAGGCUUUGCAUAAUCUUUGCUUACCUUAAAGUCUUGUUAUUGCUCAUUGAUCCCAAAAUAGUAACAUAACUGUCUGUGAAGAUUGAUGCCCUCCUAAACCCUGUUUUCUGACAUGAAUAUAGUGGAGAACUAUGGUUGCCAGAAAUUUAUUUUUC
rnacentral:sRNA from 1 species